rnacentral:rRNA from 1 species
UUUUAAUAGAUAUAAUUAUUAAUAAAAUCUGCUCAAUGAAUUUUAAAUAGCCGCAAUUUUAUUGUGGUAAGGUAGCAUAAUCAUUUGUCUUUUAAUUAAAGACCAGAACGAAAGAUUUCACAUUUAAAUUACUUUUUAAAAAUAUGUUUUUAAAUUAUUUUAAAUAUAAAAAAAUAUUUAUACAAAAAAAAGACGAUAAGACCCUAUCGAAUUUUACUAUAGUUUAACUGGGGAAGUUAUUUAAUUAUUAUUUUAAAAAAAAUAAAAUAAUAAAAGAUCCGUAAUAUACGAUUGAUUAAUUAAAUUACCGUAGGGAUAACAGCGUUAUAAUUUUCUUAAGUUCUCAUAAUAAAAAUAGAUUGCGACCUCGAUGUUGAAUAAUUAUCCUAUUAAAUGCAAUAAUAUAACUAAGGAAGUCUGUUCGACUUUUAAUUAAUUACA